rnacentral:lncRNA from 1 species
CAAAGUAUGACAUGCAGUAUGUAGUGAAAGUGCUAUAGCGAAAAAUAAACCAAGGGAGGGAUGGUGUAAGAUGUACAAGGUUUGUGAGGUGAAGACAUUGCAGGUAGAGGAAACAUCAGGUGCAAAUAUCCUAAAAACCAGCAAGAAGAGCAGUGUUUGAAACAGAGAAAUACAGAAAGUGGAGGACAUAAUGUCAGAAAGUUGGCCAGAUCCUCUCAAGAUGAAAGAUGAAAGGUGUGCCUGAUUUCAAAAAUUAAAGAACUAUGCCUGAAAGCGGU